rnacentral:tRNA from 1 species
GGUAAAAUGGCUGAAUUAUAGGCGAUAGAUUGUAAAUUUAUUUAUGGGAUUAAUCUCUUUUACU